rnacentral:rRNA from 1 species
UACGUAGGUCCCGAGCGUUGUCCGGAUUUAUUGGGCGUAAAGCGAGCGCAGGUGGUUUAUUAAGUCUGGUGUAAAAGGCAGUGGCUCAACCAUUGUAUGCAUUGGAAACUGGUAGACUUGAGUGCAGGAGAGGAGAGUGGAAUUCCAUGCGUAGCGGUGAAAUGCGUAGAUAUAUGGAGGAACACCGGUGGCGAAAGCGGCUCUCUGGCCUGUAACUGACACUGAAGCUCGAAAGCGUGGGGAGCAAACAGG